rnacentral:rRNA from 1 species
GUAACAAGGUUUCCGUAGGUGAACCUGCGGAAGGAUCAUUAUUGAAUUACACAUACACACACGUAUUGAAUCUUAUUGCUUCGGCGGCUUGCCGUCGAGGAACACACACCAACCAACUAAUUUGUCUACAACAACAUAAUAAUCAAAACUUUCAACAACGGAUCUCUUGGUUCUCGCAUCGAUGAAGAACGCAGCGAAAUGCGAUAAGUAAUAUGAAUUGCAGCCUUUGUGAAUCAUCGAAUCUUUGAACGCACAUUGCGCCUUGAGGUAUUCCUCAAGGCAUGCCUGUUUGAGCGUCAGACUCUCUCAAACCCCCGGGUUUGGCUGUGAGUGCACGCAAGUCUACUCGAAAGGAAUACGCAACAUGUCUAGGAUUACCCAACUCAUGUUUUAGCGACACACUAUUACUUUCGACCUCAAAUCAGGUAGGACUACCCGCUGAACUUAAGCAUAUC